AAUGCCAGUGAAGCCAACCUAUGUUUUGAUUCUUUAAAUGAAUGGAUUAAAAAUGCUGACAUGUACAUGUACUCUAUUCAUUCAGUGCCACAUCUGACCCAUCAGCACCAUGCACAAGGACAGGAAAAUCUACCCCAGAAUCCCAGUUUCCACCAAAACACCAUUCGACAUUUUAGGAUUCAGUAAUAACUGCUACCAGGAACUUUCUGCUCGCGGUUACUUCAGCAUUUCUGAAGAAGAUCAGAUUAGUUACUCCUCAAAGAAAUCAGGUAGGCUGUUGUACAUUUUGAAACAAAUAGCUCAAUUAGACUGCGCAAAACAGCCAUGAGAGGAAAUAACCUUUCAAAUAACUUGCUGUUAUAGUUUUGCUCAUUGCUAAAGCUAUUUGAUAAGAAGCAAAUCAGUUAUUUUUUCAUGCCACAGUACACAAGGCUCAGAGCAGCAAAACAGA